UACGUAGGGGGCUAGCGUUGUCCGGAAUCAUUGGGCGUAAAGAGCGUGUAGGCGGCCCGGUAAGUCCGCUGUGAAAGUCGGGGGCUCAACCCUCGAAUGCCGGUGGAUACUGUCGGGCUAGAGUGCGGAAGAGGCGAGUGGAAUUCCUGGUGUAGCGGCGAAAUGCGCAGAUAUCAGGAGGAACACCAAUUGCGAAGGCAGCUCGCUGGGACGUAACUGACGCUGAGACGCGAAAGCGUGGGGAGCAAACAGG
rnacentral:rRNA from 1 species